UACCAUUGUUUGCCAGGGAGCCCCACAUGU
rnacentral:piRNA from 1 species